CGGCAACAGCUCAAAUUUGAAAUCUGCCCGCAAGGGCCGAGUUGUAAUUUGUAGAGGAUGUUUUGGGUACCGCCCGAGUUCCCUGGAACGGGACGCCACAGAGGGUGAGAGCCCCGUCUGGCUGGCCACCGAGCCUCUGUAAAGCUCCUUCGAC
rnacentral:rRNA from 1 species